AGCGGAAAAGUCGAAUACGAGCGCGAAAGGCUGCUGGGAAUCGCUAACAAAUUGAAUUUUCAAAGCGGUUCCCAGCAGCCUUUAGCGCUCGUUUUCGACUUUUCUGCUU